UGGGGAAUAUUGGACAAUGGGCGAAAGCCUGAUCCAGCCAUGCCGCGUGUGUGAAGAAGGUCUUCGGAUUGUAAAGCACUUUAAGUUGGGAGGAAGGGCAUUAACCUAAUACGUUAGUGUUUUGACGUUACCGACAGAAUAAGCACCGGCUAACUCUGUGCCAGCAGCCGCGGUAAUACAGAGGGUGCAAGCGUUAAUCGGAAUUACUGGGCGUAAAGCGCGCGUAGGUGGUUUGUUAAGUUGGAUGUGAAAUCCCCGCGCUCAACCUGGGAACUGCAUUCAAAACUUACUGACUAGAGUAUCGUAGAGGGUGGUGGAAUUUCCUGUGUAGCGGUGAAAUGCGUAGAUAUAGGAAGGAACACCAGUGGCGAAGGCGACCACCUGGAAUAAUACUGACACUGAGGUGCGAAAGCGUGGUGAGCAAACA
rnacentral:rRNA from 1 species